rnacentral:rRNA from 1 species
GACGAACGCUGGCGGCGUGCUUAACACAUGCAAGUCGUACGGAAAGGCCCUGCUUUUGUGGGGUGCUCGAGUGGCGAACGGGUGAGUAACACGUGAGUAACCUGCCCUUGACUUUGGGAUAACUUCAGGAAACUGGGGCUAAUACCGGAUAGGAGCUCCUGCUGCAUGGUGGGGGUUGGAAAGUUUCGGCGGUUGGGGAUGGACUCGCGGCUUAUCAGCUUGUUGGUGGGGUAGUGGCUUGCCAAGGCUUUGACGGGUAGCCGGCCUGAGAGGGUGACCGGCCACAUUGGGACUGAGAUACGGCCCAGACUCCUACGGGAGGCAGCAGUGGGGAAUAUUGCACAAUGGGCGGAAGCCUGAUGCAGCAACGCCGCGUGCGGGAUGACGGCCUUCGGGUUGUAAACCGCUUUCGCCUGUGACGAAGCGUGAGUGACGGUAAUGGGUAAAGAAGCACCGGCUAACUACGUG